AGAGCAAAUCUCAAAAAAACAAUCUCAGUUCAGACUGCAGGCUGCAACUCGCCUGCACGAAGUCGGAAUUGCUAGUAAUCGUAGGUCAGCAUACUACGGUGAAUACGUUCCCGGGCCUUGUACACACCGCCCGUCAAACCAUGAGAGUUGGCAACACCCGAAGUCGGUAGUCUAACCGCAAGGAGGACGCCGCCGAAGGUGGGGUUNAUGAUUAGGGUUAAGUCGUAACAAGGUACC
rnacentral:rRNA from 1 species